rnacentral:rRNA from 1 species
ACGAGAAAGUUCCUUCGGGGACGAGUAAAGUGGCGAACGGGUGAGUAAUGCGUGGAUGACCUACCUUGAUGACUGGGAUAACUACUCGAAAGGGUAGAUAAUACCGGAUGUGAUCCAUGGUUUUUGGACCGUGAAUGAAAGGUGGCCUCUGUUUCAAGCUGCCGCAUCGAGAGGGGUUCACGUGCUAUUAGCUUGUUGGUGGGGUAACGGCCUACCAAGGCGAUGAUGGCUAGCCGGCCUGAGAGGGUGUCCGGCCACACUGGGACUGAGACACUGCCCAGACUCCUACGGGAGGCUGCAGUCGAGAAUCUUCCACUAAUGUGCGAAAGCAUGAUGGAGCGACGCCGCGUGGGGGAUGAAGGCCUUCGGGUUGUAAACUCCUGUCACAUGGUCCUAAAACCGCAGAGUUAAUACCUCUUGCGACUGAAGUGCCAUGAGAGGAAGCACCGGCUAAAUUCGUGCCAGCAGCCGCGGUAAUACGAAUGGUGCAAGCGUUGUUCGGAAUCACUGGGCAUAAAGCGCACGUAGGCGGUGGUGUAAGUCAGCUGUGAAAUCCCUCGGCUCAACCGAGGAACUGCAGCUGAAACUGCGCCGCUCGAGGGCGGGAGGGGAGAACGGAAUUCCUGGUGGAGCGGUGAAAUGCGUAGAUAUCAGGAGGAACGCCGGAGGCGAAAGCGGUUCUCUGGUCCGCAACUGACGCUGAGGUGCGAAAGCUAGGGGAGCAAACAGGAUUAGAUACCCUGGUAGUC